GCCAGCGUGGCAUAGUGGUUUGAGUAUUGGACUACAAUUCUGGAGACCAGGGCUCAAUUCCCAGCUCUGUCA
rnacentral:tRNA from 1 species